AGUGAAUAGAUACCCGGGUAGUCCCAGCUGUAAACGAUGCGCGUUAGGUGUAUCGGUGACCACGAGUCACCGAGGUGCCGAAAGAGAAAUCGUGAAACGUGCCGCCUGGGAAGUACGGUCGCAAGGCUGAAACUUAAAGGAAUUGGCGGGGGAGCACCACAACAGGUGGAGCCUGCGGUUUAAUCGGACUCAACGCCGGGAAACUCACCAGAUAAGACAGCUGAAUGAUAGUCGGGCUGAAGACUCUACUUGACUAGCUGAGAGGAGGUGCAUGGCCGUCGUCAGUUCGUACUGUGAAGCAUCCUGUUAAGUCAGGCAACGAGCGAGACCCACGCCAACAGUUGCCAGCUCGUCCUCCGGGAUGGAGGGGACACUGUUGGGACCGCCUCUGCUAAAGAGGAGGAAGGAAUGGGCAACGGUAGGUCAGCAUGCCCCAAAUUAUCUGGGCUACACGCGGGCUACAAUGGGUGGGACAAUGGGUAUCGACACCGAAAGGUGAAGGCAAUCUCUAAACCC
rnacentral:rRNA from 1 species